AUUGAACGCUGGCGGCAUGCCUUACACAUGCAAGUCGAACGGUAACAGGUCUUCGGAUGCUGACGAGUGGCGAACGGGUGAGUAAUACAUCGGAACGUGCCCGAUCGUGGGGGAUAACGAGGCGAAAGCUUUGCUAAUACCGCAUACGAUCUACGGAUGAAAGCGGGGGAUCUUCGGACCUCGCGCGGACGGGGCGGCCGAUGGCAGAUUAGGUAGUUGGUGGGAUAAAAGCUUACCAAGCCGACGAUCUGUAGCUGGUCUGAGAGGAUGAUCAGCCACACUGGGACUGAGACACGGCCCAGACUCCUACGGGAGGCAGCAGUGGGGAAUUUUGGACAAUGGGCGAAAGCCUGAUCCAGCCAUGCCGCGUGCAGGAUGAAGGCCUUUGGGUUGUAAACUGCUUUUGUACGGAACGAAAAGCCUCUUUCUAAUAAAGAGGGGUCAUGACGGUACCGUAAGAAUAAGCACCGGCUAACUACGUG
rnacentral:rRNA from 1 species